GAGGGGCAAGAUGCAAAUGUUACAAGGGGCAUGCGUGAACAGCUGAGUGAAUUUCCCUAUAGAUCCAACGCACCAGGCAGUCCAGCAGCACCGUAUCACCGAAUGAAUGCGAGCACUGACAGCAGCAGGUGUCUUCCAGCGGAAGAUAUCGAAAAUAUCGGCGCAAAAUACUCCCGUUCCGUUUCCAAACUCCAAGACCCCCUUUCCGUCCUCUUGUGUGUGUCGCACCGCCGCCGACCGGGUGCCUGCCGAUCAUGGCCGGCCGCGACGACCUCGCCGCGCUCCGCGAGCAGACCGCCCUCGCCUCCUCCGCCGCCGUCUCCGUCUCCGACCUCGACCUCGCGUACCAGCUCCAGCUCGCCGAGGCCAUCCAGGCAUCUCUCCGCCUCGACGCCCUCGCCAGCAAUCCCUCCUCUUCCAAAGGCAAAGCCCCCGUCGCCGCCUCCUCCUCCUCCUCGUCCCUGUCCCAGCCCGCCCCCGCGCCGCCGGAGCCCUCGGACGCCUCAUACGCCCUGGCGAUCCACGCCGCCGACCUCGCGCGCGCCGAGGAGGACCACCGCUACGCCGAGGCCUGCCGCGCCUACUACGCCAGGGCCGCCGCCUCCGCCUGCGUCGCCGCCCACGACGCCAUUUUCGCGCGCGAGCUCGCCGCCGUCCCGGAGGACCAGUGGGCCCACGACGGAGACAACAUCGAGCGCCCUCUGGACUCGACCAAGCCCCUCUUCCGCGUCAUGUUCAAGGGCAUGGCGAGCAAGGAGGUGGUCGGAUCGCGGGACUGGGACCCCCGCGUCGCGGUCCUCGCCGUGGCGCUGUGCGACUCCCAGGGAAAGGUGGUGCUCAGGAUACAGAAGCCGGUGGAAGGGUUUGUGGGCGGUCGCAUGAUGCUCGAGGCAAUGGCGCUCACCGAAGGCCUCCAGGCGGCGCUCGGGUUAGGGAUCCAGAGCAUUAGGAUUCUCAACGAUUACAAGGCACUCCAUAACCAUAUGCGUGGAAUUUGGCGCCCGAAACAGGCGAAGCUUGCAGAAAUGAUAGAUCAGGUUCUGUCAGUAGCAAAGAAAUUCAAACAAUGUGAAAUUUCACUUGUGGAACGAGGCAAACUUGAUUACGUGAUGAAAUUAGCAAGAGAUUCGAUACUCUCUCAGAUUGCCAAAGCUGUUGCUGUGAAUGCUAGCAAGGAGAAAAGAGAGACCUGCGCCAUCUGCCUCGAAGACACCGAUGUUUCUAAAAUUCAUGUGGUCGAAGGCUGUGCACAUCGCUUUUGUUUCUGCUGCAUGAAGGAGCAUGUGAAAGUUAAGCUACUCCAUGGAACUCUCCCAGCUUGCCCACAAGAUGGUUGCACUACAAAGCUAACCAUGGAGGGUUCAAAGAUAUUCCUAUCGCCUCGACUGUUAGAUAUCAUGGUGCAACGCAUCAGGGAAGGACAGAUCCCUGCUACUCAAAAGAUUUACUGCCCGUACCCCAAGUGUUCAGCCUUGAUGUCCUUGAGUGAAAUGAAACACCCAUUGCAAGAAUCUUCCUCAAAGUACACCAUUGCUGAUGCUGCCACAUUGAGAAAGUGUGUCAAAUGCAGAGGCUCAUUCUGCAUCAGCUGGACAGGAUGUCUUGUUACGACUACAAGAGUAGGUACCCCCAAGCUCGUCCAGAUGAUGCGAAGUUACAGAACCUUGCACGGCAGCAGCUGUGGCGCCAAUGUGUCAAAUGCAAGCACAUGAUUGAACUCUCAGAGGGCUGCUACCAUAUGACCUGUGUAUGCGGCUAUGAAUUCUGCUACACCUGUGGGAAAGAAUGGAAAGACAAGAAAGCGACCUGCUCGUGCCCGCUGUGGGAUGAAGAUAAUAUUAUCCGUGAUGGCAUGGAAGAUGACGAUGACGAUGAUGAUGACUACGAUGAGGAUGAGGAUGAUGACUAUGACUACGAUGAGGAUGAGGAUGAUUACUACUCCCUCCGUCCCAUAAUAUAAGAACGUUUUUGACACUAAUGUGGUGUUAAAAACGUUCUUAUAUUUUGGGACAGAGGGAGUAUGCUAGAGAAGGCCAACACUAUGACCGGCAUAACGCUGGUCACCACCAUGGUGGUGGAGGAGCCCAGAAUUUUUAUGACUACAACAACAAUCCCGGGCAUCUUCCUCGUCAUGGCGGUGGAGGGGCUAGAAAUUUCUACAGCUACAACUAGUCCAGUACUUCUGCAGCUACAACUGAUGUUACUGUUAGUUAAGCAGAAUCUCCUACCGUUCUAUUUGCGUUUGCGUUUAGUAUCUAACUACCUGAUGGUACUAUCCCGUCAGGCGCACAUGAACUUAGGCAAGGCAAGGCAAAUUAGUAUGAGUGAACGUUGGUUUUUGCACAUGGCCUAUGUUCUUGAUCAGUGAUAUUUUCUUUUUAUGAUA